rnacentral:rRNA from 1 species
UUCCCCUGUUUAUCAAAAACAUUUCUUACUGAAAAAAAAAAUAAUUGUAAGUAUCUUCUGCUCCAUGAAUCUUUAAAUAGCCGCGGAAAUUUAACCGUGCUAAGGUAGCAUAAUCAUUAGCCUCUUAAUUAGAGGCCCGUAUGAAUGAAGAAACAUUUCAAUUUCUUUAUUAAUUAAUUUUUUUUAACUUAAACUAAGAAUAAAAAUGUUCUUAUAUUAAAAAAAGACGAUAAGACCCUUUUGAACUUUACUGAAGUUUAGCUGGGGCAGCUAUAUAAAAAUUAUCUUAUAUUAAAAUUUUCAAUAAAUGAUCCAAUUAAAUUGAUUAUAUGAAUAAGUUACCAUAGGGAUAACAGCGUAAUAUUUUUUAAAAGUUCUUAUUUAAAAAAAUGAUUGCGACCUCGAUGUUGAAUUAGUAUAACUUUAUUAAUGCAGUAAUUAUAAAAGUGAGUCUGUUCGACUCUAAAAAUACUACAUGAUCUGAGUUCCAAACCGG